GGAAGUGUUGAGCAAUUGGUUGGCUCGCCAGACUGAAAUGAGUUUACGAAUUCAACGAAUCAACUAUGUAACUCUUGAGUUUUGAGUUAAAAUCUGGUCUUGUAUAAGCGUGUAGGUUCGAAUCCUAUCACUUCCA
rnacentral:tRNA from 1 species